rnacentral:rRNA from 1 species
GCUUACGGCCAUACCACCCUCAGCACGCCCGAUCUCAUCUCAUCUCGGAAGCUAAGCAGUGUCGGGCCUGGUUAGUACUUGGAUGGGAGACUGCCUUGGAAUACCAGGUGCUCUAAGCU